UACAGAGGUCCCGAGCGUUGUUCGGAUUCACUGGGCGUAAAGGGUGCGUAGGUGGUGAGGUAAGUCGGAUGUGAAAGCUCCAAGCUCAACUUGGAAAUGGCAUUGGAAACUACCUUGCUAGAGGGUUUGAGGGGGGACUGGAAUACUUGGUGUAGCAGUGAAAUGCGUAGAUAUCAAGUGGAACACCAGUGGCGAAGGCGAGUCCCUGGAAAACUCCUGACACUGAGGCACGAAAGCUAGGGGAGCAAACGGG
rnacentral:rRNA from 1 species